GUCGCGUUGGGCAGGGUAGGUUUCAAGUUCGGUUUCGAAGUGGUUGGUGUGUUACUGGACGGUAGAUUGUCAUUAGAUGGCAGUGCUGUUUAGUGGUGUCUGCUACUGUCGAGUGUGUCGGUAGUAAAAAAGUGUCUGAUGGCAUUCUGUAGUUCACAAUGAAAUGGAUAAUGAAGACAUUCAAAUGAUGUCUUUUGUUCAAGAUAAGUGUUAAAAUCCACAUGAUCUGGUGACAGAAUUUAAAUGGGACUUGUGUUAUCACAACCCCUGAGUACAAUGAAUACCAACAGUUCCCCAGAUCAAGAGGUCUAGUCUGAGGUGAUCCAUUUUUUUUUCAUUGGUCCGCAGUUCUGAAUUAAGGCUGGUAUGUGUAUUAUGCAUCGCCAUGCUGAGUACUAGAGGGAAGGAAUAACUCAAAAUGUGUUUGAUUCUGAACAAUGGUCAUUUGGGAAUCUAAAAAUUAUUUAAAAUAAAGAUUCAUCUCCUGGUACAUAGCUUGACUUGUCCUGAGCUGGCAAGGAUUCUAGCCAUGCAGAUCAGAAUUGAGUGCAAAUAUCAUUCAGGACUUUCUAUCUCAUGAUCCAUGACUGUUAUUCUGCCAUAGGCGUCUUCAUUUUAAAAAAUCUAUAACUGAUUGGUGAUUGGGAGGCCAUGCCUUUAUUAAACUAAAAUGUCAAUUACGGAAUGAAGGCUCCAGAAAACAAGACCAUGGUUUGGAAAUGGAAAUUUUGGUCCAGCCCUCUACCAUUAUAUUCAGAGUGAAAUGUAUAGAUGGGUUUCUACUGGAUAUUAAUUCCAACUCUCCCAUCUUGAGGUUUCACGAGGAAGUUUUGCAGCUGACUAUAAAAGAUGUCUUGUCUUAUAUUUGACGGUGUCAGAAAUAGAAGACGAAAAAAGAUGCUGCACUUUCGAAGAAACUUACCUGCACUUAACCGCUAGCCACUAAUUCGAACCGAAGAUAAAAUAUUAUAAUUUUUAUAAAUUGAAGUGCAUAUCUGGGCUCCCUUCUUUUCUGUGGCCCCGUUUCCCCUUGACUCGUAAUAAGCCCGUAGGGGGUCAUGCCCCUACUGUGAUCA